rnacentral:hammerhead_ribozyme from 1 species
AGUAGUUGAAGAGUCCCACAAUAGGACGAAACGGCCGUCCAGUGU